UCAUUGACUAGAGGUCAACUUGGUAUCUUCUUUACUUAAUAGCAACAUUCUACUUUUGAUUUCUUUAUGCAUUUAUGUCGUACGAUAUGAUCUUUUUCUGAUUUAUAUAUAUCUUUAGCGCUUUUGAAACUUGAAGGCUUAAUCUGGUGCCAUUUCUAGUAAACAAGAAAUUAAGUGAGUUUUAAUUUCUCCAUUGAUCGAAAAGUGAUAUGGCAACUUCUAGUAGCUUUAAUAAGCCCAAAACAAAGGGAAAGGAGUUGAUUGAUGAGGUGUUUUCUUGGUCAUUUGAUGCUGUUCUCAAUGAAGAUCAUUACAAGGGAAAGGUAAACACAAUCGAAGAAAGAUUUUCAUCAACAAGUGAUUACACCAAUUCGUUCAUCAAGCCACUACUUGAGGAAACACGUCAUGCUUUGAUGUCCAAAAUGAGAACAAUCUCUAGUGCCUCUACUCGUGGGAUCAUCAACAUGUCAAGAUUCCCUAACAUAUAUUUGGAAAGUAAGGGCAAAAGUGGAAAAGGGUGUUAUGAGCCCGAGGUGGGAGAUCUCAUAGCUGUGACAAAUGGAAAACCUAGAUGUAUUGGUGAUAUCAAUCAACCAAAUGGAAUUCCCUAUGUCAUUGCUUUGGUUCAAAGGGUCUUCAAGGAUGAUGUGAUCCAAGUAAGAUCCAAAAAACAAAUUGUUUUUAAUGGGAAAGAAUCUAACAAUAGAGGGAAACCCAUGUUGUUUGUGGUUCAUCUUGUGAAUUUGACACCUAAUAUCCACAUAUGGCAAGCUUUGCACUCUAAAUUGGAUGGAGAGAACAUGAAAAUCAUCAAUAAAGUACUCCAAAGUGACUCAAAGGGUAACAAAGAAUGUUCACUAUGCUCCAUUCAAGAUUCAAAGAAAUCUGCUUCACUAAACUUACAACACACCAUGAACACUUUCAGUCUGAAUCAAUCUCAAAAAAAGGCAAUAUGGAGUUGCAUUGUUGCAAGAGAAUGCCAUCAUCAAGAAACCGUGAAACUAAUAUGGGGUCCACCAGGAACAGGUAAAACAAAAACAGUUGGUUGUCUUCUAUUCGCUCUAUUCAAAAUGAAAUGUCGCACAUUGACAUGCGCACCUACCAAUAACGCGGUGUUAGAGGUCGCAUCACGUUUUAUGAGUCUUGUAAAAGGUUCAUUAGAGUAUGAAACCUAUGGAUUUGGAGACAUAGUUUUAUUCGGGAAAGGUGAGAGAAUGAAAAUCGAUGGUUUUCCAGAACUCUAUCAAGUGUUUCUUGAUAAUCGAAUAUCUGUUCUUGCUUGUUGUUUGUCUCCCACUUUUGGCUGGAGAAGCAAGGCAAAUUCGAUUGUACAAUUACUGAAAUACCCUCAAGAUGAAUACAAAUUGUACUUGUGUGAUAAAAGAAAUGUGGAUGAUGAAGCUAGCGAUGAUGAUGAGUGGGAGAUUUGCGAGAAUGAGGGUUUAAAAGACGUACAUGGGAAGGUGAUAGUUUAUGAAAAAGUGCUUAAAAUCAAGGAAAAGUUAUCUUUUGAGGAUUAUAUCAAAGAAAAAUUCAACAUUCUUGAAGAAAAACUGACAACUAUGUUUAAAAGCAUGUACACACAUAUGCCAACUUCUUGUCUAACAUUACAACUAGCAAAGAAAAUGAUGAGAGUUAUCACCUUGUUAAGCAAUACCCUCCAAGGGGUUGAAAUUUCUGAAGAAAACAUGGUACCUAUGAAUGAGUUGGUAGUGAUGAAAAAGGAGCUCUUUCAAGUUCUUGAUCAAGUCCUUCGUGAAACCGUUUCUUUCCCUAAUGAUCAAGAAAUCGGAAACUUUUGUUUGGAAAAUGCAUGUUUGAUCUUUUGCACGGCCUCGAGCUCAAUUAGAUUGCAUGCUCUUGAGACAAAUGUGGAAUUAUUGGUAGUUGAUGAAGCUGCUCAACUUAAAGAAUGUGAAUCUUUUAUCCCUUUGCAACUUUCGGGUCUUCGUGAUGUUAUACUCAUUGGGGAUGAGAUGCAACUACCUGCAAUGGUUGGGAGUCCGAUAUGUAGGGAAAAGAAGUUUGGAAGGAGCUUAUUUGAAAGAUUGGUGUCACUAAAACAUCUGACACUCCUACUUAAUGUCCAAUACAGAAUGCAUCCUGAAAUAAGCCUGUUUCCUAACCAAGAAUUCUAUGGGAACAAGAUUAAAAAUGGCCCAAACGUAUAUAUACCAAAUUACAAAAAGCAGUUUCUUAAAGGAGACAUGUUUGGACCAUACUCCUUCAUUCAUUUAACCCAAGGGAAAGUUGAAUUUGAUAAAACUAAAAGUGGGAAAAACAUGGAGGAAGUAGCUGUGGUUGUUGAGUUGAUUACAAAGCUUCAUGAAGAAAGUGUCGCGAAAAACAGAAAGAUUAGCGUGGGUUGCAUAACACCAUACACGGCUCAAGUUUCUGCAAUACAAAGUAAACUUUCAGACAUUUAUCAAGUCAUAAAAGCGGGAAAACAUGAGUUUUCUUUGAAUGUUAAAACUGUUGAUGGGUUUCAAGGGUGUGAAGAGGAUGUGAUAAUCAUUUCAACUGUAACUGGAAUUGCGAGUGGAUCUAUUGGUUUUCUAGCUAGACCUCAAAGAGCAAAUGUGGCUCUAACACGAGCAAGGCAUUGUUUGUGGAUAUUGGGAAAUGGAGAUACGUUGAGGAAUAGCAGCAACACAUGGAGGCGAUUAGUCAACAACGCCAAGGCUCGGGGUUUUUUUUAUGUUGGUAAUGAAGAUGAGAGUUUGGCUGAUGUGAUCAACCAAAGGAAUUUAGAGGUUUCAAAGAUGUGGUCAAAGGGUGAUUGAAAAUGGAUUCUUAUCAAACGGAAUUUCUGCAAUGAGUUUGAGAAAAGAAGCAAGCUCAUCAUCAUCACCGUCAUCUGGAUUAUGUUUGGAGGGACAUAAGGCUUAAUAACGGUCAUAUUUUCAACAUCUCUGCAACGUGUAUUAGACUAAUUCAGAGUCAAAUUGUAUUCCAUAUAUUUAGGAGUUUUCAGUUGUAUUUCUGUAUAUAAAUACCUGGUGUAUAUUGUUGUAUUUGACAAUCAAUAGAGUGAGAUUAUCCUCUUUACUUCUUGACUCUUUUAUGGUAUCAGAGCAGUCUUGAUUUUUUUUCAUGGCUCACAACAACCAACAUAUUUUAGGGUUCGCUACUGGCUCCUCUUUUCAAAUCCCUUCCAUGAGCAUCAAACUUGAGACCUCCAACUUCUGUCUUUGGCGUACAAACAUUAUAUCUACUCUGGAAACCUUUGAUCUUGAAUCAUUCAUUCUUGACCCUCAGCCACCACCAGAAACCAUCACCACUGAACGUGAAGGUGCUCCUCCUACUGUUGCUCCCAAUCCAGAGUAUACCUUGUGGAAGCAACGUGAUCGCUAUGUUCUUCUCUGGUUGAAAUCCACACUUGCUGAAAGAGCCCUUGCCAUUGUUGCGCGCUGUACCUCUUCUCGCCUUGCCUGGAAGUCACUCGAAAAAACAUUCCAGGCCCAAACAAGAGCUACCCGUAUGGCCAUGAAAACCCAACUUCAAACCUUAUCCAAAGGCUCUCUAUCUAUGGUU